UGGUGGUUUGCUAGAGUACCACUAAUCCAUUUUUGGAUUGUAGAGUUCCACUAUCGAGAAAGGUGCUUAGGAGGAUUAGAUAAGCCUAUCCCAUAUCGUCGAGAUAGCAUGGAAUGGACUGGCUACAUGCCUAGCGGCCCGCCACCGGCUCGCAUUGGCUUACGUGAGACAAAGAAUGCUGCACGGGAAAUCAAAUUUGCUAUUACUCAUGAUUCCAAGAACAUAGGAAAAUCUGUACUGAGGUCAUGUGUAGGAAACUUGAUGGAUCUCAACUUGGAGCCUAGGUUGCAAAGCAUGCUCGCUGAGGCUAGGUUACCACUGAAGAUCGAAGAUAUUUCAUCUGAUGAUGAGGCUUCAGAUAUUGCUCACCCACCAAGCCCUUCAAAAUAG
rnacentral:rRNA from 1 species